rnacentral:lncRNA from 1 species
UCAAACAGGAACUGUUCAAACUGCAUAUAUUUAUUUUUUAUAAACGGAAACGUCAUAAAUUUCAGCUUUUGAUAUGCUUUUUCUUUUUGUGUUUAAAUUUUACUGUUUUUGUUUCUUCGUGCGUGAUAAGUUUUGCAUUAGUAAGGGGGCAUAUGAUUCGGGUAAAAGUCUGUUUUGCACUUGGCGCCUGUCGAUUUAACACGACUAGACAUGUUUACCUUUGUAUCCAUCGCGUUUGAUCAUCCGGAUACACAUGUAUGCGCGUGCUUCCUGUAAAGUUAAGUGAUCCAUACCUCAAGUAGUAUUCUCUUCCGUAUCUACAUAUUUAACAAUAGAAAAC